rnacentral:rRNA from 1 species
CGGAGGCAGCAGUGGGGAAUUUUCCGCAAUGGGCGAAAGCCUGACGGAGCAAGACCGCGUGAGGGAGGAAGGCCUGUGGGUUGUAAACCUCUUUUGAUAGGGAAGAAGUUCUGACGGUACCUAUCGAAUCAGCAUCGGCUAACUCCGUGCCAGCAGCCGCGGUAAUACGGAGGAUGCAAGCGUUAUCCGGAAUUAUUGGGCGUAAAGCGUCCGUAGGUGGUUUUUCAAGUCUGCUGUCAAAGCACGGAGCUUAACUCCGUAAAGGCGGUGGAAACUGAAAGACUAGAGUUUGGUAGGGGUAGAGGGAAUUCCCAGUGUAGCGGUGAAAUGCGUAGAUAUUGGGAAGAACACCGGUGGCGAAAGCGCUCUACUGGGCCUGAACUGACACUGAGGGACGAAAGCUAGGGGAGCGAAAGGGAUUAGAUACCCGUGUAGUCCG